UGGGAUGGCUUACUGCUCACGACCAGAGCUGUCUACGAGAAGUCCAGAGAAACACGACCGCCAACAGCACAGCAGCCAGCACCUGCAGGAUUGUACCCUAAACCAGCAGGAACAUGAGCUGAACCCACCCUGCGCUCCAUCAUGCCAAUACAGUAGGGUCUUCCAGGGAUUUAUAGUGGUAUAAAAUGUGAAAAAAACCCAGUAAGCCCAGAGAUACCCAAGUCUGAGAGCUAAAAUUUACUGCCAUGCACAUUUUUACCUUGAUCCUAUUUGCGUUGACAGCCACAGUAGCCUCAAAGCUUACUAUUGUAGUAUUACUUAUUUUUGUGAUGGCAACAUUGUAAGUUCCCCCCAAUAUGCACACAUCCCUUGUGCUCAGUUUUAACCCUGCUGUGUUUUACACAACUUUGCUGUCACCAGCAAUUAAGGGCUUUUUUUCUUUUUUUGACAGAAGGAAGAAAUGUGGAAAAGCAGUAUUUUGACUCAAGAUAGGCAGAAGCACUUCUGAUGAAGCUGAACGUUGCGAGAGGUUCCAGAAGAAAAUAAUAGAAAUAAGGCCAGGCAGGGGGUCCAAGCUGAUCAAAGUCUUUGGCGCAGGGAGCUCAGCACCACAGACAAACCCCACAGGGGCUAAAUGCAGUUGAAAUCAGCACUAGAUCACCCACCAUGGCAGCUGACUUUGAAAGGAGGACCGAGGAGUGCCAGACUCCAAAAAACAAGGUCCUAGAGCAGCACAGUACAGGAAUUCACUGUGUGGAUUAUAUAGGGGGAAGGGGGACAGUGUGUCCUUCAAUUCUCAGAUACUUUGUGAAAAAUAGCUGGUUUUGAAUCCACAACAAUACAUGCAGCUUUCUAGUCUCUAGCAACAUAAACUGAUGCAUGAAGUGUGGCAAGCUGGGGUGUCAUUAUACCCAGCCUGCAUUCACACUGGCACGCUCUGCCCCUUCCCGUCUCUUCUGCUAGCCCUGCAUCCUCAAGCAUCAGGCAGGACGAGGAAGGAAGAUUCUUUGCACUCCUCUUCAGGACAUUCGAGAAGUCACUUGCCCUGUCUGCAGGCUUCUUCAUAGCAGGAACCCAUGCAUUUCAAAUGUUUUCAAAGGGAUGCGAACAGAUAAAUGAAAUCAAGAAUCCAAUAAAAAUAACAUUACAUUUGCCUUA